rnacentral:ncRNA from 1 species
GCAAAGACGUCGAUUGAGACGAGUAAGCCGGAACCGCACUGUUCAGCGAGUCUGAAGCAGGUGAGAGUCAGACACAGGUGACCGGCCGAAAAUCCCUCAGGAGUCGCCAGCCGAAAGGCGCAAGCUCAGUAGACCUGGCCGGAUUCGCCCCCCGUUAGCGGGGCCGCGGCAAUCAAGGAUUGUUCUCCUUGCGUUGCCGGAAUGAGUGCCGGGCCUUCGCGCCCGGAACCUGGGUGGUACCACGGAGCGUUGACGCCUUCGUCCCAAUG